GAUGAACGCUGGCGGCGUGCCUAAUACAUGCAAGUCGAGCGAACAGACGAGGCGCUUGCUCCUCUGACGUUAGCGGCGGACGGGUGAGUAACACGUGGAUAACCUACCUAUAAGACUGGGAUAACUUCGGGAAACCGGAUCUAAUACCGGAUAAUAUAUUGAACCGCAUGGUUCAAUAGUGAAAGACGGUUUUGCUGUCACUUAUAGAUGGAUCCGCGCCGCAUUAGCUAGUUGGUAAGGUAACGGCUUACCAAGGCAACGAUGCGUAGCCGACCUGAGAGGGUGAUCGGCCACACUGGAACUGAGACACGGUUCAGACUCCUACGGGAGGCAGCAGUAGGGAAUCUUCCGCAAUGGGCGAAAGCCUGACGGAGCAACGCCGCGUGAGUGAUGAAGGUCUUCGGAUCGUAAAACUCUGUUAUUAGGGAAGAACAAAUGUGUAAGUAACUAUGCACGUCUUGACGGUACCUAAUCAGAAAGCCACGGCUAACUACGUG
rnacentral:rRNA from 1 species